rnacentral:lncRNA from 1 species
UCUUUGAUGAACAAGUCCUUUUCAACCAAAUUGGAAUUGGACCCUUUGAAUUCACUCAAGAGCACAAGCGUGCCCCUAUCAAAAAUUUGCUUCGGAAUUUCGUUUGAUUUUCUACAUUAUCACUCGUGUUCUCAAAUCGAGAAAAAGCAAUCACACCACAAUUGGCCGUGAAGACGCAAAAAUUAUGCAUGCUAUUAUUUCCAAUGCACGCAUAAAUUGGUGUAAACUUAUUCUUACACAUAUGCUUGAUUCAAUAGGAG